UAGUUUGGAACCAGAAUCACGGGACAGUGUGCUCAGUCUCAAAAGUGUGUAUGGUACAGACAUAACGCUGAUAUACGAAUGUUUUAUGAGGCAAGCGAGGGGAGCACCGUUCGAUUAAAUGUGAAAUACGCACAACGUGCAUAUCUUUAGACGUAGGAACAUUUCCACCAGCGUAUAUACUUAUCGAAACUAUGAAAUUUGCUGGACUGUGGAGCACGAAACUAGUGCCAGCUCGAGAGAAAAUUGCCAGCUUUGAACGAAAUCACCACGUCAUAUCUUUUAUAUUUGUCACAACGUACACAAUGUCUUCUGGAGACUCCCGAAAAGCUCUACAUCGACACGUCUUGUCGCCCGCCAUGGUAAUGGUGUCUGGUCCACGACUGUUGUUGAUAGUGUAGACAGCUAACGUUCACGUGUUACGUGCCCUGCAGGGUGUUGUCACCAAAAAGGACCAACCAACGAUUUCCUAGAAAGUGAUCUUAACAGUGAAAGCUGUAAUUGUUAAGAGCGGCAACUAAGGGUGAUACGCGUCCUCCCAUCAAGAAAAGGGGAUUGUUUUACGAAAGAACAGUAUUUCGGUGUGAUGCAAAGUUCUGCCUACCCUAACGAAGCCCUGAGAGCAUUGUGGGCAUUCGUGGAACACUAAAUGGAACAGUCGAGGAACAUCUAUGCUGUUCGGUAACGUAAAAAAAAAACAGAAGCAGCGUGAGGGAGCGGAAACGGGAGAGGAGCCCUCAACCUUCUUCGAAAUGUCUUGAAUAUUUGCAAGCACUGAUCAUCUGAAUAUGCCUUCACUUUAUCAAGCGCAGUUCACCCUCCACGACGACAAAAAAAAAAAAACAAUUUGUGACAUAAUGUAAGCAUUAAUUUUUUUCAUUUAACCUUGGUUUUCCCUCGCAGAGAUUGACUGUCGCGAUUCGAUAACAUCUGGACAGAAAUUUGCUUUGCCUGGCCGCUGUGGGUCGUAACUUUUUGAGGGUUCCAGCAACCGAGUUGAGAAACCGCAGAGAUGGAAGAUCUCUUAGUACGGGUACAAAUCGCAUCGCUUUUCUGCGGAGAGUUUAAUUCUUUCGGCUACCUAGUGCAGAUGUGCUUUUCCUAUCAGACGAAUUUAAACGUUAAUCGAAAGCUACGUAUGUCAUCCAUUUUUCUGGUAUCACCUUAAUCACUACCAAUUUUUCCGACCGCAGAAAUGACACCUUGGUUCAAACCCUACGUUUGCUUUUCCCAGAAAAGAGAUACCAUUUUCAGUGUGUAAGUAAAGUGCCAGCAAUCAUCAACCAGCCUCCUUGCUUAAAAAAGACUGAGAUGUCAGAGGAAACUGGUAGUAAAUGUCGGAAGAAAAUCCCCCUAGUGACCUUCGCGCCUCUGAUUUCGUUGUCCUACGACCAUUGAACUUUCCUCCACGACUUAUCAUCUUAGUUCGCAUUUCUUUGAAUCAAGAGGUAUAUUUUUUUCUUGCUAGACCGAUAUUUUUCGACGCGAUACGACGUUCCAAAUAUAAUCCAGCAUGGAGUCAGGAAGAAUUUAUAAUUUUUGCUUCUUGUGAUUCGCAGAAAUCUGUCGACUACGAAUGGUGCCAAUGAAGGUCGAGCCUCGUUUCUUAUGACGCUCGCUGAAACCACUAGAGUACUUUUCAUACGACGUUCUCGUGGCAUUUGCAAGUCGAGACUCUUGUAUUACGUUCAGAGGGCGGCUUCAAGUCUACCAGCGGAGCUCGACAGAACGACGACACCUGUUCAUUGCAUGCGUCUACGGUCGCUACGUCGUUGGGCCAUAUUCGCAUAUCUAAAGCAACCCUGCAAGCCGUUCGCGACCUCAACAGCACCAGGCUACAAGCAUCCUGUAUCUUGAGGCGUAGUCACGUUCAAAUCACAAUGACGAAGGCUGACCUCUUGAGUACAUUCCAGUGGGUUCCAGGACAUUAUGGUAUGCAUGGAUGUAAGAAAGCGGACGAGCGUGUCCGCGGGCCAUUCACUACAGCAAAUGGGAACAGCCAUAUUCUACGAAACUAAAUGAUAAUAAGUUAUGAUGAUAACUUAGUGGCGAUGAUGAUAAGUUAUAUUCAGUCGAGAAGUGCAUUUCGGAUCAAUUCACAAUUCUACCAUUCGCUAUAACAGUUCUUGAAAUCGAAAUUGCCACACCAACUUCCUCGUAUCAUCGUAUUCCAAAGAAGGCCAAACGGACAAUACGAAUCGGAUGUCACAAAAGAAAGAAAAAAAAACCAUAAAUGCAAUAUUUUUCGCAUUUGAAACUUGCCGUUAGAGUUUGUGACGUCACCGCGUGCACAUGACAUGAAUUCUUAACAUGUUCGGAUUUCGGAAUUGCGCUUGUGGGAGCAGACUGGUCGCUUGGCCGAAUCAGCGGCCGAAUUCACGAUUCGUUUCACUCGUGAGUGCUUCUUUGCCACAGGCUAGCCGGCUUCGUUAAUGAUAUGUCCUGCAGCGGGAUUGGCUGAAAUUUUCUGUAAGGAAAACACUUGAGUUGUACGUUUCUCUGACUGCGAGCGCGGAAGUUUAGUUCGCGAGUCCAAGUGGUAUUCAACUUGUAAUACACAGUAACAGCCAUCGUGACGUAAUAGCCAAAGACAAAACUUUGUGACGUCACAAAUGUGCAAAGCACGGCAGCAGGAGCUUGGCAUACACCGAGUGCUAUUUAAUAGAUGAGAAAUGCAUAGACCAGAAAGAAAAACACAUUGAGCAUGAAAUGAUAUUGCAGAAUGAAACAUGUGAACCUGCUAUACACACAUAUGUUCCGCGAGCAGCACAGCGCAAAAUGCAGGCGCCUUUGAUGCAGUGCUAACGCCUGAAAAGUGAAACCGCUCUUCAUUAACAAUGUCAGUAUAGACAUGGUAGCCCGCAGUUUAAAUUGAGUGUUGCUGCAUUGACCAAAAUGCCACCGCUUCGGCAGAAUUCUGUGUCACUAAGCAAAGAUGUCAUUAAGUGUGACCUCCAGCGCUGUAAAGAGGGCGGUCACAGACAAUGUGCAAGGUGACCUCUGACGAAACACAUUUUGUUGCGAGUGGAACACCAGAAUUUCUUGUCUGCAAAAGCACGUGGCGUAUCAUGAGAGAACUACGAGGGUGCACGUAAAAUUUGCACCGAUGCUUUCUGCAGUUGACAGCAGUGCCAGGAGGCACGCAAUCUAUAAAGCCAUGGACUAUUGAGAUACGAACAACUUGAGGUUAACCAAAACGCGUCAUAUUGUUCUUGUUCGCGCCAUCACUCGUAGUGUCAGCGUUAUUUAGGUUUGAAAGCUUAAUUUGAGCCCUAAACAAUCCUUGAGAGCCACACAAUUAGCGAUCCCAAGUGGCUCUCUCCACUGCCUUCUACACUUUAAUUUCUCGUUUGUGUUUAAUUUGUCGAUGACUGUACAUUCAUCCAGACACCUCAGAUCGCUUAUCACAAGGGAAGAGUUUCCAACGCCUGAAGGCUUUCCGAGUGCGCGCGCCCUGCAGGAAUUGGCAGCGUUCACGGCUAAAGUAAGAAGCGUGAACAUCGCUAGACUCGGAGAUCGGCAAAUCUCGGCGUGUGACUAUCAGACGAGCGACGAAACAUAGGCCGCCGGCAUGAGGAAUGGCCUCUCGAUAUGCUUCGUUUAACUAUAGUGGCACUAGACGGCGACGCUGGCGCGAUAAAUGAAAGCAUCGCAGCGCCAUCUCUCCGGUGCACGGUGCCUAUUAAGCCUCCUGCCUGAACGCCUCACCCAUCUUUUCCUUUGUUGUGUUUGCAGCAGCAACAGCCAAUCUCUGCCCAAAGCGACGCUUCACACGGCUACAUAGUGGCUUCACAUCAAGAGCCACGGAACAUGCGCCGAAUGCGUUAAAAUCUGUCCGUCAACAUGCCGAAGCUCCAAGCGGUCGCACCCAAGACUAGGACAGUAAACGCUUUUCUGGCGUUUUUGCUAACCAGAGGAGCGCAACCUUUCAACGCCAGUCAGUGUGACAGGGUUAACUUACCUUACUUUCGCGUUCACAGGCUGUUCCGAAUUACGCACUUUCUCGCAAGUUUAUUUUGCUUCAUAUACGUGUGAGCUCCACUAUGUCAACAUUCUUAAGCUGUAAAGUAAAAAAAAAGAAACGCUGCACAAAGCUGACACAAAGACAAAUUGAAACAGGUAAGUCAUUUUAUUUACUUGCAUUGAGCAGAAACAUCUCAUAGGGAGAAAAAUGUUCCACUUGGUUCGGCGUGGUUAGUUGGAAAACCUUAACGAGACCGACUACAUAAAAAAAAAAAAAACGUUUUGCCUCCUCGGUUAACUUAACUAUCACCCGAACCUCGGUCCUUCGUUCGUUGUUUCUUUCUGUUUUUCUUUAUUUUUCUCCUUAUUACUUCUCUAAAUUCGGCCACCAGGGUCGCUGAUCGGCACUGCCAUCCAAUAUACAGCAAAUGGCAAAUGCAUUCGACGACAUAACAGGACAACAGAAAGAAAUCAGAUAAGAACCUUUGCACGCAAAGCGUUUAUUUCGGCGUAAUACAGAGCUAAUAAACAGUUGGAGGAAGCCUUCAGGCGCCCCUUAGACCUUCUCAUUAGGCGAGAAUAAUAGUUUCAUUGCACCUUAAUAAGUAUGUUGUGAUAACUUAGAAACAGUCAUUUUCUCUGCCCAAUCCAACGAAACUUCCGGCCUUUCAUGGCAGUAAAUACAAGCCGUACGCUUUAGUGCGCUGCGGUAUUCGCACCUGCGACGCGGUAUCAACUCAAUCACAAUAAUUACAGUUAUGUGCUCUAGUCGAAGUCAGCUUGACACGUUGGCGCAACCAACGCAUUUGUACGCGUCCGCGUCACCAGCGUUCGAGUGGGACGGGUACCGUUAGUAUAGUACGCGAGAGGCUAGAACUGCCGGUUUUCUCACAUAUGCGAAGACAGAUCACUAAAUGUGACACUUCGCUAGCCAAGAGACACUGGCCAGUAACAGCACGGCUCCAUUCCCCUCAUAUUUGUCUGCAGGCUCCCGAAGACAGGUGUGUGGCGAAGGUGCAACAAGCGCUCAAGUCGUGUAAUAGCAGGGUGUCUUCACUGAGCGCCGUUCUAUCAUCCAGCCUUAUCACAGCGUUGUACCCGACGCUGCACCAAUUAUAUGUGCUUAUACAGUGACACUUAAGGUGUCGGCGGUGCGAGGACCAGCCAGCGUCUAAGGACAGUAUUCAAGCACUCAUACCAGGCACUAUGACUCCAGAGUAGCAAAGGUACGCCGAAGCGCAGACUCAAAGAUAUAAAUGUGAAGAUAUGUAACUCAUAAGAACGAUGCAGGGAAGGUGGGGCUUGCUUAAGUGUACGUCUUUACUUGUCAAAAUGUUUUUUCAUUAACUAACUUCUCAUGAAAGAAGCAGCUCGUCAUAUUGUUACGGGCUGAUGUAACGGCUAAUGUCAUAUUGUAACGGGCUCAAGAGGACGACGAAGAGGACAGGAAAGAAGACGACGUGGUCGGACUCCACGAGCUGGGCGCCAUCUUGUCAGCCGCCUAAUUUAUUCUGUGUAUAUACAGUGUGAAUAUAUUCGCGCUGUAACAAUAUGCGCUAAAAAUGUUGUUCGUUUCGAGCAGCUAGAUUAAGAUUUUUUGUUGCCCUCACUUAAACCACUAUCUUAAGUACAUUACAGAACAGCAAUUCAUUCCUUCGAAACGCUGCUCUUUUAACUAACGCUUUCGAGGAAAUGUACGAGAAAUAUAUGGCAAAGGCUAUCCUUUACGAACACACAUUUAAGUUACCAUGGACGUCAGCUACAACGUUAGUCUGAUUUUUCCAAAACUUUGACAUUAGUGUUCU